rnacentral:lncRNA from 1 species
AAAAACAUAAAUUUAAUACAAACAAUUACGCUUUUCCCGAUCUCUGCUCAUCUUGUGCAAAGACCGGUUAUUAAUAAUAAUUUAUUUUGCCGUUCAAAAAAAACUAAUACAAACAAAAUUAACUACUUCGACUUCGUCGUCCUCGGGUUCAACCAUGCAAGCCGUGAUUUCAACAAAGGUCCUUAGACGGAUCAUGCUUGAACAUAUAUCUUGAAAGGAUCUCACCAAUGUCGUGUCUAGCUCGAUCAGUUUAUUCGUAAUAUAUUGAGAGAAAAUAGAGAACAUGGUUCUCACAUCACCGUCGUUUUAAAGUUUUAUGUUUGUGAACAAGACGCUUCCUACGUUUAAAAAAAUAUUGACGUGACCGUUAAUUUUUGUCAUUUCCCAGUUUAGUGAAAAUCGAUUUUUGAAAAUAGGCAAGAAGAUAUUACUGGCCAAGUCGCGGUUCGAUACGCUCUCUUUAAGACGUUUCACGGCACUACCCAAAAUUGUGCAAGGUAGACUAUCAACCGUGAAGUCCCCAGGAUAAAACAGUCAAUUCAAUAAUAUACUGUUUUCUACUGCACUGUAGAAACGGGCAGAAAAAUACAUUCGAUGGUUACGACGAACCAGUCUAAUAUUGAUAUAUGAAUAUCAAUUCAAAGUGGCAUCAACCACUCUCUAAAACAACAAGAAACAAAAAUUAUUUGAAGUAAGAACGUGAGAGAGAGAGAGA